rnacentral:ncRNA from 1 species
UAGUUCAAGCCUCUGAGGAGAUUCAGUACAUAUUUCUGAAUCCAAAACAAGGCUACACUGUCAGCGGCAGGUGGGGAGUUUGACUGGGGCGGUACACCUGUCAAAGCAUAACGCAGGUGUCCUAAGGCGAGCUCAGGGAGGACGGAAACCUCCCGCGGAGCAGAAGGGCAAAAGCUCGCUUGAUCUUGAUAAAUGGGACUGUUGGAGUGAAAGAAA